GCCACGCCUAACCUUGGAGAGCAGUGAUCAAUGGAGGAAGUGUUUCACAGUAGACAUGGGAAACUGGCCAGAUCAACUGCUGUCACCUUCUAAAGACAGGGUUUUGCCGUGUUGCCAGGCUGGUCUCGAACUCCUGGACUCAAGUGAUCUGCCUGCCUCAGCCUCCCAAAGUGCUGGAAUUAUAGGACCCAGGUGGUGAGGAGAAAUGCCAGAGAAGCUGCAGACCCCCGGCCACAGAGCCUGAGUGGAGCAGAGGUGGCCCACUGUCAGCCACAGGUCAAGUGUCAGGGUAGGGACAGGGCAGGCUCCACCAGGAGGCAGGGCCAGACCACAGGGCAAGGUGGAGAUGAGUCUGUGGCAUCCCUAGGAAGCUCACCAGACUCACCCCAGAGCUUCUGACCCUUUGGAUCUCUCUGGGCUGCAUUCUUCAGGGUCAUGUUGCUUCUUUCUUGAAGGUGGAAGGAAAUGUUCCCAUCAGAGCCUUCCAACAGGCCAUCUCGGGGACUUCUCCUGAGAGCUCCUUGUGCACGUAUCCCUUCAGGGUGGCUUGGGUUGUGCCCUCAGACCCCAGUGAGGGGCCGUAUCUCAUCCUCCUUGGUCAGCAGGUGAGCCACAGCAGCAGGCCCCCCGCAGACCUCAGCCUUGGGCCACAGGUACCUUCUCCCAAUUUCUGCAUCUGGAGAAGCAACCUGCGGAGCAGCCAAGAGUGGCAGACCUGGCUCCCUGCAGCAUUCAUUUUCGGGGCAAGACAGAGCAUUUCCACUAUUAUGACUCCUUUUUUAUGUUUUGUUUUUGUCUUUUUUUUUUUUUGGCGUGGUCUCACUCUGUUGCCCAGGCUGGAGUGCAGUGGUGCAAUCAUGGCUCACAGCAGCCUCGACCUUCUGGGGUCAAGUGAUCCUCCCAAUUCAGCCUCCAAAUUUCUUUAAAUAAAAAAAAAUGCGAAAAAGGCAAAACAAGAUAUUUGUCUGGGCUGAGAGGGUAAAGAGAAGCUCAGUCUUUGAGCUGAGACACAAAAUGGAAAGAAGAGGCAGCAGCAGCAGCAGUAGCAGUUCUGCCUUUCCAAAUCUUCCCCAUCUAAGCGCUUUCAAGAUACGCUGAAAGUCACGAAUUGAAGUGUGGUUCCCACGGCUUUGGUCCUUGUAUGAAGGUCCCUUUGCCAGAACUUACUUCCUUUCCAGCCCACAUGGUUGACCUGGGGGUCCAGGCAGUUCUCAAGGGAACCAUAGGAUUCCAGUUUAUGGAAUGGUGAUGUGAGAUCCCAGUUUAUGAUCUCUCUUCUGGUCACAAGCUGAAUUGGACCCAAAUCUGCACCC